rnacentral:rRNA from 1 species
UUUCUGUAGGUGAACCUGCAGAAGGAUCAUU